rnacentral:rRNA from 1 species
GAUCCUGGCUCAGGAUUAACGCUGGCGGCAUGCCUAAUACAUGCAAGUCGAACGAGAGUAGCAAUACUCUAGUGGCGAACGGGUGAGUAACACGUAGGAAACCUGCCUCAAAGUCGAGGAUAACUACUGGAAACGGUAGCUAAAACUGGAUAGGAUAUAUUAAGGCAUCUUGAUAUAUUUAAAAGUCCUUCUGGGAAGUGCUUUGUAGAUGGUCCUGCGGCGCAUUAGCUAGUUGGUUGGAGGUAGG